rnacentral:rRNA from 1 species
AGAGCAGAGACAGGUGGUGCAUGGUUGUCGUCAGCUCGUGUCGUGAGAUGUUGGGUUAAGUCCCGCAACGAGCGCAACCCUUACGGUUAGUUGCUACGAAAGAGCACUCUAGCCGGACUGCCGUUGACAAAACGGAGGAAGGCGGGGACGACGUCAAACCAUCAUGCCCCUUACGUUCCGGGCUACACACGUACUACAAUGGCGCAAACAAAGGGAAGCGAGAUCGCGAGAUGGAGCAAACCCCAUAAAAGGCGUCCCAGUUCGGACUGCAGGCUGCAACCCGCCUGCACGAAGUUGGAAUUGCUAGUAAUCGCGGAUCAGCAUGCCGCGGUGAAUACGUUCCCGGGCUUU